rnacentral:rRNA from 1 species
AAAAAAUAAAAUUAAAAUACUAAAAUAGUAUUUAAAUAAAUAUUUAUUGAAACUUAAAUAAUUUGGCGGUAUUUUAGUUCAUUUAGAGGAAUCUGUUUAAUAAUUGAUAUUCCACGAAUAAAUUUACUUAAUUUAUAAUUUUGUAUAUCGUUGUUAUAAAAGUAUUUUUUAAUGAGAUUAAUAUUUAAAAUUUAAUAUAUAAAUUUAAAUCAGAUCAAGAUGCAGAUUAUAAUUAAGAAUAUAAUGGAUUACAAUAAAUUUAUUUAAAUGAAUUUUAAUUUGUAAAAAUUAAUUGAAAGUGGAUUUAAAUGUAAUUUUAUUUAAUUUAAUAAAAUGAUUAAAAAUUAAAAUAUGU